GACGAACGCUGGCGGCGUGCCUAACACAUGCAAGUCGAACGAGAAUCGACGGAUUGAGACUUCGGUUGAAUGAAGUUGAGGAAAGUGGCGAACGGGUGAGUAACGCGUGAGGAACCUGCCUCUCAGUGGGGGACAACAGUUGGAAACGACUGCUAAUACCGCAUAACAUAUCCGAAGGGCAUCCUUUGAAUAUCAAAGCUUUAUGUGCUGAGAGAUGGUCUCGCGUCUGAUUAGCUAGUUGGUGGGGUAACGGCCCACCAAGGCAACGAUCAGUAGCCGGUCUGAGAGGAUGAACGGCCACAUUGGGACUGAGAUACGGCCCAGACUCCUACGGGAGGCAGCAGU
rnacentral:rRNA from 1 species